rnacentral:lncRNA from 1 species
GUUUGGUUUGCCAUCACUUUUUGUGACUUUUCUGACAUCUGCAAGUGUCGGAAGUGUGACCUGAAACAUUUAAGGACACUUCUGCCUGAACCAUGGGCAGAUGUUUAGACUCCAAGAUACAGAGGAGGAGGGUCUUGGAGGUUUCUUAGUAUAAGUUCCUCCCUGUGGUACUUGCAGUUCCUACAAGGGGCUGUCAGAGAAACAAGCCGGAGCAGAAGAGCAAGACAUGGUCCUGGUGCAUGAAAGGAGCCUAAGAAAGAAGAGUGAAAGCUGCACGUGUGAAGGAAAUGAAUUUUCCUCAUUGUACACAUUCCGAGAAAAAUGAGGCUAAGACUAUUUCAAAGGAUGUUCUACCUAAUUCGAAUGGGCUUUAAGUGCCAUCUUCACAAUAGCGCCAGAGUCUGGUGUCAGCAAACUGAACAAAUAGAGCUACAGGGAGCGAAUGGGGCUGGGUGCCUCUCCAAAACAUAUGCAGAUGAACUUGAGAUUUCAGAGGACGGUUAAUCCUACACAGCAGUCAAGUGCCUUCCCAGGGGGCUCCCUUCCAAACACUGGCUGCCACGUCAAACCAAAGGGGACGAGCAAUCAGACUCACCUCAAACGCCAGUUAAGAAAGCCGGCCUUACUUAAGCAAUCAAGGGCAAGUGAUCAGCCAACUCUGCUUUCUUUCCUUUCUCUUGGAUCAUUUAUAGACCUUGUGGCCGUGGCCACCACAUUGAGAAGCCCUUGGUCUCUACUUGGACUCACUAUAGCAGGU